rnacentral:rRNA from 1 species
CCUACGGGAGGCAGCAGUGAGGAAUAUUGGUCAAUGGACGAGAGUCUGAACCAGCCAAGUAGCGUGAAGGAUGACUGCCCUAUGGGUUGUAAACUUCUUUUAUAUGGGAAUAAAAUGUUCCACGUGUGGGAUUUUGUAUGUACCAUAUGAAUAAGGAUCGGCUAACUCCGUGCCAGCAGCCGCGGUAAUACGGAGGAUCCGAGCGUUAUCCGGAUUUAUUGGGUUUAAAGGGAGCGUAGGUGGAUUGUUAAGUCAGUUGUGAAAGUUUGCGGCUCAACCGUAAAAUUGCAGUUGAAACUGGCAGUCUUGAGUACAGUAGAGGUGGGCGGAAUUCGUGGUGUAGCGGUGAAAUGCUUAGAUAUCACGAAGAACUCCGAUUGCGAAGGCAGUUCACUAAACUGCCACUGACAUUGAUGCUCGAAAGUGUGGGUAUCAAACAGGAUUAGAUACCCCAGUAGUC